UCCCAACGACAUGUAUCGCUUUUUCACUAUCAUUUUACAAUCACUUCACCUGUGUUCCAUACAUUCACCAUUUCACCAUCUGUCCAUCUGUCCAUAGCAGAGCAAUAAUAUUCACUUGUCUCUGUCUCUUUUCCACCAUUUUACCUGUCCUGACUUCUGUCAAAGCCUGUCCUGUUAUUCACUGUCACCAGCCAUCAGCUUUUUACAAUAUCAGGCCCAGGGAAGUCGCAGCUCUUUGUACAAGCACCUAGAGUAAUUGAAUUUGCUGCAGAAAUAGUGAGCUGGAAAAUGUCAUUUUCUCUGUAUGUGAGGGGAGGCAGGAGCAGGUGGGUCAUAGCCAGAGAGACAGACACAACUUAUCUAUCCUCUCUUCCAUGUCCCACUCUCUCUCCUUUCUCACAUAUACCCAUCCCACUCCAUCCUACUCUCUCUCAAAAUCUCCUCUGUCCUCCCACUCCAUCCUACUCUUUCCCAAAACUUCCUCUGUCAUCCUAAUCCAUUCUACUCCCUCCCAAAACCUCCUCUGUCAUCCGCAGGUAACCUAGUGGUUAGAGCAUUGGACCAGUAACUGGAAGGCUGCUGGAUCAAAUCCCCGAGCUGACAAGGCAAAGUAGAGGAUGAUGACAAACCCUGACCCCUGGCCUGCUACUUCUGGCUGCUACUGCCUGGGAGAACCAGAGAGGAAAGAGAUGUAAAGUAGCUGUUGAAUCAGAGGUACUAGAACUCAUGUAGAAGCACAUUUCAAUUGGUCAUUUUAGACUUUCCUUAUAAGACUCAGCAUGCCUGCUACUGUAGUUAUAAGACUCAGCAUCCCUGCUACUGUAGGUAUUUUGAAUGGUCACUGUGUUAGCCUCAGUUUGGAGUGCCUGAAAAUGUACAGUGACUACAAUUUAUGGGAAUGGCUAAUAAAUUAAUUCACACAUCCA